AAUGUCCUACGGGAGGCAGCAGUGGGGAAUAUUGCACAAUGGGGGAAACCCUGAUGCAGCAACGCCGCGUGAGUGAUGACGGCCUUCGGGUUGUAAAGCUCUGUCUUCAGGGACGAUAAUGACGGUACCUGAGGAGGAAGCCACGGCUAACUACGUGCCAGCAGCCGCGGUAAUACGUAGGUGGCGAGCGUUGUCCGGAUUUACUGGGCGUAAAGGGAGCGUAGGCGGGCCUUUAAGUGAGAUGUGAAAUACUCGGGCUCAACGUGAGUGCUGCAGUUCAAACUGGAAGUC
rnacentral:rRNA from 1 species